rnacentral:lncRNA from 1 species
GCUAUAGCUCUGAUUUGACCCCUAACCUGGAAACUUCCAUAUGUGGCGGGUGUGGCCCUAAAAAAAAGGCUGCAUCAUCAGAAAGUACCUAUUCACUGGGCCCCUGAAUAUGGUGGGCACGGGGAGCACCUCAUGGAUGUGGAGCCCCCCACCCUCUUUUAUUAAGAUGAAAUAUUUUAGACAUACCCCAAUGUAGAGAGAUCAGCACAACAAUAAUGUAACAUGAAAAGUGAAGAAAUGAGUCUUAAUGGAUACCACUGGGGCUUCUGCAUGCUUUUCCUUUCUCCUCAGAUUUAACUGCCGUGCUGAAUUUGGUAUUUAUAACUUCUGCUGAUAUAUAUACAUAUAUAUAUAUAUAUUCAACAUCUAUAAAAUAUGUACAGUCAGUUCUCACGAUUUAUGGUAGUUAAACUCAUGAAUACCGAAUUGACAAAUACUGAGCCAUUGCUCCGUUGCUCCUCGGGGAAAUAUAUGCACACAUAUCUCACAUAGAGUAUAAUCUUAAAUCCUAAAAACACCUCAUUCUGGUAGAUUCUAUUUUAUUUUACAAAAGAGAAAAAUGAGGAGUUCCCUGAUGGCCUAGAGAUUAAGGAUCCAGUGUUGUCACUGCUUGGCUCAGGUUUGAUCCCUAGCCGGGAAUUUCUGCAUGCCACAGGCUUGGCCAGAAAAAGAAAUCACCCAGAGGAGAAAAAUAAGAUUUGGAGACGUUAAGUGACUGGCCUGGGGCUGCCCCACUAACAGGUGCCAGAGUUAGAAUUCAAAGCCAGUCCUCCUGGUCCCGGAGCCCAGGAUCCUUGAACUGAACCACGCUGCCACCGGCCGCCUCCCUCCAGCAAGGCAGAUGGGGCCUUGUUUGACCUUAGCUGUGAACAUGCAUGUCGGAUGACUCAAAAUUGUUAUUGUUUUGCAUAUGUCUGCACAUGACUGCAGAAGUGCCUCAAAUGUUGGUUUGGGGGUUACAAAUCAAUUUUAGCAAAUAGGUGAACUCGAAAAGACUGAAGAUUGACAUGGGUACGUGCAUACAUAUACAUACAGAUAUAUACUUAGGUAUAUAAACAAUAUAUAUGUGAUACAUAUGUAUAUAGUAUCAUAUAUAUAUAAUGUAUAUUACCUGUCCUAAUUCUUAAACACUGUAUAGCACUUUUUGCAGUCUUUAAAACUGUGCUAAAUAGUAUCACACCAGAAAUAGCUUCUGCAAGAGGCUUCUUUCCAUCCCCACUGUUGCUAGUGGAGCUGUGGUUUCACUGCUGCAGAGGAAUAGCUAGUGUUUACUGAGCACCUACUAUGCACAUGGGCAAUUACGCUUUAUAUGUCACAUCGGGUUGAAGCCUCAAGGCCACUCAGUCAGGUGAAUACUGUUCUUAUACCCAUUUGACAGUGGAAGAAACUGAGGCAUGGGGAGGUGAAAUAAGUUGCCUUAACUACCUAGCAUAUGUUUAGUGGAGGAAUGAGUGAUGGAAACCACCAGAAUGAUCACUAACAGGACGAUGGGUAAAUAAAAUGUGGAAUUCUAAGGUUAGGAAGAUGGAUAAACAUUUGUCAUAGGGACAGUUUUAAGGCAGCCGUGGAUUCGGGUUUGCAAGAGUUCUCGUGCUCAGUGUGCUGCUCUGGGGGCUUCAGCCUGUGGGAAAGGUGGACAAGACCUGGCCACUGGCCAAAUGUCAUAGAAGUUGCCCUUGGAGAUGCCACCUUCUCUUCCAGCGGUCUCCUGUGUCGUGGCAGAGUGGAGUGGCUGGAGUCGCUGUGUCAAGCCCUGCCAGGUCUCUUACCGCGUCCGCCAGAGGCAUGUGCUGCAGGAGCCGAGGAACGGGGGUGCUCCCUGCCCCCCAUUGGAAGAACGGGCUGGCUGCGUGGAGUAUCACAACCACCAGGGAGUGGAGUGCCAACAGUCUUUGCGUGAGUUGGGGUGGCCCUGGGGGUAGACUGCCAGUGGGAACAGCCUGGCUGGACUGCAGGGCCCACCACAAGUUCUGUGUGGGGUCUGAGUCGAGGGUGCGACUUUGUCUUCCUUUGCCCUGAUCCCUCUCCUCACCUUGUAAAUGAGGUAAGAACCUCUGUCCUCCUCUGGGCAUCUCAGUGUCUUCUUUCUUAUCUCCCAGCGUGAACUGGUCAGGGCUUGGUUUAAAUGAAGACAGGAAACCCAACUUAACCUGACUAGUGCGAAAAUUUGUGGCUCAUGUAACUGAAAAUCCAAGUUCUGCAUUCAGGGAUGGCUGGAUCCAGAAGCCCAAGCAAUGUUGCCUGGAAUCUCUCUCCAUCUCUCUGCUCUGUUGUCCUGAGUUGGCAUCUAUUCUCAGGCAGGCAUUCCCCCUGUAAUGGUCUGUGUUAGCUCCAGGCUUCCUUGCACCCAGCUCGGCAGCUGGAAGAAAAGGCCUCUUUGCCCUUAGUUUCAGCAAAUGUCCUAGGAUGAAGUCUCAUUGGCUUGACUUGGGUCCUGUGGCCACUGCUGAAACAAUCAGUACAGCCAGAGGGAUGCAGUACUCUGAUUGGCCAAGCCUGGGGCAUGUGGUCCCUUUGAGGCUGGAGGGGUGGGUUAGCCCCAUGUGAAUGAGAGUAGGGGAGGGGUGUUCUGCAAAGGACAAUUGGGGAGAAUGGAUGCAGGGCAGGCAAAAGAGCAGAUGUUGCCACAUUGUACAUCCUGACAAAAGGCUUUUAUAUCGUUACAAAAAAAUAGGUGAUGCCUAUUUAACAGCUAAAGAAAUUGACCAAGAGGGUGACAGUGGUUUUUCUGAAGGGGUAGAAGUACAGGCAGUUGGGCUAACUUGCCCGCUUCCAGUCUCUCCCCAGGCUGCAGCCUGGAGGGGCACGGAGGCCAUACUGCAUGGUGUCACCCUCCUGCUUUAAAUCCUCCAGUAGCACCCAGAGCCCUCAGGGUGAAAGCCACACAUUGUCACAAUCUAUAAGCUCAAUGUGCUCUGGCUGUCACUUCCUGUGACUUUCUGUCCUCUGUCUUCUGCCUACAUUUUAUUAUUUAUUUAUUUUCUCUUUGUAGGGCUGUACCUGCAGCACAUGGAAGUUCCCGGGCUAGGAGGUGAAUUGGAGCUGCAGCUACUGGCCUACAUCACAGCCACUGAAACCAAUGCCAGAUCCAAGCUGGAUCUGCGACCUACACCAAAGCUCAUGGCAAUGCUGGAUCCUUAACCCACUGAGUGAGGCCAGGGAUUGGACCUGCAUCCUCAUGGACACUAGUCGGUUUCGUAACCUGCUGAGCUGCAACAGGAACUCCCUGUCUUCUGCCUGCAUUUUAGAGGACCAUUCUGACUGCUGGGGGGACAGCAGACUAAAAGGGGAAACCAGGGAGGAGGUGACUGCAUGGUGCAGGCAAGGGCGUCCAGACUGUUCAUUUCUUUCAUCCCUUCAUCUCGCCAUCCAUCCUUCCUUCCGUUCAUCAUCCCUGCUGUCAUCUCUCUCUCUCUUUUUGGCCAUGGUCAUGGCACACGGGAGUUCCUGGGCCAGGGAAUGAACCUGCGGCACAGCAGUCACUUGCGCCACAUCAGUGUCAAUAACGGAUCCUUAACUACUAGGCUACCAGGGAACUCCCUGUCUCUCCUUUUUCCCCAUCUUCCAUUUAUCCAUCACCCCUCCAUUCUUCCUUUAUUUCUCACAUCAUUUCAGCCACCCAUCCACCCAGUUAAUAACCAUCUCUUUUUCUCACUCAUUCAUCAGAAUCAUUUAUUUGAAGAACUUUUUUUAUUGAGAUUCACUAUACAACCCACUGUGCUAGGCCCUGAGUCUCAAGAGAGAUAAAUAGGAUCCUGCCUCCAGCAUUGCAGAAAGGGUCCUUGGGGGGAGCACCUACCCAGUUACAAGAUCCCACAGUCUCCCUCGGGCUGCCACACAAAUAACUGGGACACCAGGAGUACCUGGUCCUGCCUCCUGGGGUGUCAUAGCCUUGGGGGUGGGGGUGGGGGUGCUGGGCUACCUAACUCUAUUUUCUCCCUGGCCUACAGUCCCUGCUCUGAUAACCACAGGCAGCUAUGGGAAAGAGCGGGAAAAACAAGGUGUCCCCAAGAAGCAGGAGAUGGCAGGGUAAGUGGAAGCCAAUGGACCCACAGUCAGACUCUAAUUUGUGUUAAUUUGGAUUAAACCUUCAUCCUAGCUCUCUUAUUUCAACAGCUUCAACAUCUCCCUAUUUCUUGUCAUAUUACAUUUGUAAGCUCAUGAACGUGGACUUUGAAGUCCUUAAUAAUUGGUUUCUAUUCAAGUUCACUCACUCAUUCACUCAAUGUUUAUUGUUUAUAUGACAAGUACUGUGCUAGGCCUUGGGACAACAGCAAGGAACAAAAAAAGGACAGAAAUGCUUGUCCUCAUGGGGCAGUCAGUCUAGUCAGGGACAUCUUUACCAAGAAGGUGACAUUUGAACUAAGACAUCAAGGAGGGCACCUGGGGGAAGAGCAUGAUUUGAAGAGGGACUAGCAAGUGCAAAGGUCCUGAGGCAGGGAAUGCCUGGUAUGUUCAAGGAGCAGCAAGAAGUUCAGGCUGGAAUUCAGGGAGAGGGAGAGAGAGCCAGAUCGCACAGGAUCUAUAGGCUGUGGUGGAAGUUGUGUACUGUCUCUGCAUGAAAUGGGAGUCAUGAGAGGGUUUGGGGGCAGGGGAAUGACAAGCUCUGACCUAGGUUUUCACAGGAUCCUAUUAGAUGCUAUUUGGAGACUCGAUCGCAGAGAGGCAAGGAAGGAAUGAGGGAGACCAAGGGGGAGGCUACUGCAAUGGUCCACACAAGAAACAAAGGUGAUUUGGAUCAGGGUGGGUUUCAGGGACUGGAGUCAGACUAUGUUGCUGACGGUGGCAAUGAGGUCAAGCUUCUAGGACAGUGCCUGACAUAUGGUAGCUACACAACAAAUACCAAUUUUAAGAAUGAAAUCUGAACUAAGGCAGUGGUGACGGAGAGGAGGGCUCAGUUAGGGUUCCUUUCAUUGUGAGUGACAGAAACUCAGCUCAAACUGGCUCAAGUGAAAAGGAGAAUUACUGGUUUAUAUAACUAGGGGAAGUUUUGCAAUAGUAUUAACUUCAAGCAUGGCUGGAGCCAAGAGGUCAAAUAUUGUCUAGACUUCCUCUCCCCCUGCCCUACAUAUAUUGGCUUCCUUCACAAGCAACCUCUCUGCUUGUAGUAGCCAAGCUGCCCACCAGCUGCUCCAUGUCCUCCCAGUCUCAUAGGCUCCUUUCUAGAGGAGACUCUGAUUGGUCGUGCUUGGAUCCCAGGCCCAACUGUGAACCAAUCACCAUGGCCCAGAGCAUGGGCCCUCUGAUUGGUCCACUUCAAUCCUCUGCCUACUCCAGGAGCAAGUGUGGGGAGCUGGGACCAGUCCCUCUGAUUGCCCCUCCAAAACUAUGUAAAGUGAGGACAAGAGUUUUCCCAAAUAAAUCAUCAAAAGGGCAAGAGAAAGCACGUUGGAAAGACGAAAGUUCCAAUUAUCACAGGCUUCUAGUAAGGGACAGGAAAGGGCUUUGAGCUGGCUUUGGGCUGGCUUUGGGCUAUUCCUGAAAAAAAAAAACACAACAACAAAAAAAGAAAAAAAAAAAAAAA